UCAUCUCAGUCAUCGUCGUCAUCUAUCUGCUCCGACUGCAGAGCGGAGCGAAUAAACAAAGCUCGAUCUCAUUCGUCGUCAUCGAUCAGCAGCCUGACGCGACGGCUCCAGCACAUCCGGUUGGAAGGCUCGCCUUCUCCCCCACCCCCAUCCCAAUUUCCCAUCCCAGCACGCCGGGAGGGAGGAGUGGUCAUCCCCCAUGCUAAAAGUUGCAUUAGCCCCUUGAUAAAGCCAGGCAGCGGCUGGUCUAUGUACCACGCUUUGCUCCGCUCUGCUUCCCGCUACCGACCUAACCAGGCCCGACGAUGCAGCGGUGGCUCCCGGCGAUCCUCCGCCGCGCGGCCCCCGCCGGCGGCGCGGCGCGGCUCUUCUCCUCGUCCUCCCUCCUCUUCGACGAGACGCAGGAGCAGUUCAAGGAGAGCGUGCACAGGUUCGCGCAGGAGGCCAUCGCGCCGCACGCCGCGGCGAUCGACGCCUCCAACCGCUUCCCCAAUGGCGUGGACCUGUGGAGGCUCAUGGGGGACUUCAACCUCCACGGCCUCACCGCGCCGGAGGAGUACGGCGGGAUGGGGCUCGGCUACAUGUACCACUGCAUCGCCAUGGAGGAGAUCAGCAGGGCCUCGGGGUCCGUCGGCCUCUCCUACGGCGCGCACUCCAACCUCUGCAUCAACCAGCUGGUUCGUCAUGGCAACCCUGAGCAAAAGCAGAAGUAUCUACCCAAGCUGAUCAGUGGCGAGCAUGUCGGGGCGUUAGCAAUGAGCGAACCCAACUCUGGUUCUGAUGUGGUCAGUAUGAAAUGCAAGGCUGAGAAAGUGGACGGUGGUUAUGUCAUCAAUGGGAAUAAGAUGUGGUGCACGAAUGGGCCUUCUGCUCAGACAUUGGUUGUUUAUGCAAAAACGGAUUUAGCUGCAGGGUCAAAAGGAAUAACCGCAUUCAUAAUUGAGAAAGGGAUGCCUGGGUUCAGUACUGCUCAGAAGUUGGACAAACUUGGCAUGCGAGGGAGCGACACGUGUGAGCUUGUUUUCGAGAACUGCUUUGUGCCACACGAAAAUGUUCUUGGUGAAGAAGGGAAAGGUGUUUAUGUCAUGAUGUCAGGGCUUGAUCUGGAAAGACUUGUAUUAGCUGGAGGUCCCAUUGGUCUUAUGCAAGCAUGCCUUGAUGCCGUACUUCCAUAUGUUCGCCAGAGGGAGCAGUUUGGCCGUCCAAUUGGUGAAUUUCAGUUCAUACAGGGUAAAAUGGCUGACAUGUACACCUCCCUGCAGUCAUCAAGAUCAUUCGUAUACUCAGUUGCUAGGGACUGUGAUAAUGGCAAAGUUGACCGCAAGGAUUGUGCAGGAGUAAUUCUUUUUGCUGCUGAAAAGGCAACCCAAGUUGCACUUCAGGCAAUCCAAUGUCUUGGUGGCAAUGGGUACAUAAAUGAGUACCCAACUGGUCGUCUCCUCAGAGAUGCAAAGCUGUUUGAGAUUGGUGCUGGUACUAGUGAGAUAAGAAGAAUGAUAAUUGGCCGUGAGCUCUUCAAAGAGGAUUGAAAUUGUUAUUUUGCAAGCCAGAUAUCAAUACAUGUUGUUAACUGGAGGAGACCCUGCCAAAGCCCCCUUCUCCGAGAAGGCAGUCGGAACGGAAGUUCUUUGUGGCAGUGGCCAGCUCACGGAACGUGAAUGCUUUCGCGGUUUUGGCAACAGAGGAGCUUGCUUUAGGAGGUUCUAUACUUGUUGAUGUUUCAGAUGAUGGCUUGUGCUUUGAAGAGACUGGUGAUGGCUUGAUGGACCCUGCAAAGGUUCAAGUAUAACACCAAAAUGCAUGUGACACUGACAGGAGACACAGAUAGCUACAUAGAUUCGAUUCAGACUUUCAGAGGAGUAUACACAUAUAUCCAGAAGGAAAUACUGGGUUUGUCCUUAAACAGAGAUGCACUGAAUGGUCGGUAUUUGGAGGCCUAAAAGCAUCUGCAGGAAAUCACUGAACCUGGUACGGGGUAUUAUUUAACCACCGGCAUUCAGUUACAAAACUUUGCUGCGCAGAUGAGGACGUACUCAGGGAUUGUAGAUCUUGGAUCUUUACUACUACAUUGUAUUUAAUUUGUUAUGAUUGUUCGAGGCAGGAGCAUAUUAUGAUCCUUACCAGGUUCCCUGGGAGGCGCUUCAUUCUCGGUCGAGGCCUUCUUCACGACCGUGACCUCCCUCGACUCCAUCCUUGUCGACGGCGUCUUCUUCUCAGGCUUGAAACAGCCAAAACAGCUCAUCGUCCCCAACUAACACACAGACGAAUUCGCAGACCUCCUUGUGUUGGGAUUUGGGAAUGGCGGCACGGGUGAGAGUUUAAUGCAGCCUCCUCCUCCCUCCUUGCGCCUAAAGAUCUGUCCAGGUUAUUGAUUGCUGUUCGUGCUUUGUGCGCGGAAAAUGUGACCCCUGUGAGGAAAUGUGGUCAUAUAGGAUGAUCAUCCUCUCCAUGCCUUUGCGGCGGGGAAUGUGCUCAGCCAAGAAUAGGGUCAUGGGGGGUCCUAAAUUUAGAAGCUCUGCGCGUCUUCCACGAUCCGUGUCCCAGCUAAGGCCUCUGGAUGUAAAGCUGGAUCUGACGUCUUCCCUUGGAAAGUUCCAGUUCUAGAAACAGUCGCUGCUGAUUUUUUCUGUUCCAAGGAGCACCGCGUGCCAAUAUGCCAUUGCAUUGGAACAUGCUGGGGUGUUUACCAGUGCUGCACUUAGAAUUCAGGCCGGUGAUACCGUGUUAGAAUCGCUGUCAGCUUUAUUGAGCUUGAUAAGCUUGGUCGGUUUUAUUUAUCUGGAUGCCUACUUGGUUUUCCAGACAGUGGCCACGACAAAUAUGUUAUCGUUACAACUAAUAGUCUAAGGGUCUGAAUGUCUGUUCUGUCUAGUCUCUGGUGGCUGGUGUCCGCUGCUGUUGUGGUAGCAAAAGAAUUCAGCCCUUUCAGGUUUUGAGCAGCAGUUAAGUGGUACUAGAAUAUAAGGAACAGGAAUACUGCUUUCUAUAUGCUCAAGGGGGCCGGGCCUAACCUUUUUCUUUUUGAAAUAUUGAGGGGCUAAGAUUGGCUGG